rfam:Sinomonas sp. MTSC 117 Contig137, whole genome shotgun sequence.
GCGGCCGUAGCUCAAUGGCAGAGCGCACGCUUCCCAAGCCUGAUACGCGGGUUCGAUUCCCGUCGGCCGCU